UACAGAGGUCCCGAGCGUUGUUCGGAUUCAUUGGGCGUAAAGGGUGCGUAGGCGGCGGGGUAAGUCUGAUGUGAAAUCCCGGGGCUCAACCCUGGAACUGCAUUGGAUACUGCCUUGCUUGAGAACUGGAGAGGAGACUGGAAUUACGGUGUAGCAGUGAAAUGCGUAGAGAUCGUAAGGAAGACCAGUGGCGAAGGCGAGUCUCUGGACAGUAUCUGACGCUGAGGCACGAAGGCCAGGGGAGCAAACGGG
rnacentral:rRNA from 1 species